UACGAAGGGGGCUAGCGUUGCUCGGAAUGACUGGGCGUAAAGGGCGCGUAGGCGGAGUGCUUUGUCAGACGUGAAAUUCCAGGGCUUAACCUUGGGGCUGCGUUUGAGACGGGCAUUCUAGAGUUUGGAAGAGGGUCGUGGAAUUCCCAGUGUAGAGGUGAAAUUCGUAGAUAUUGGGAAGAACACCGGUGGCGAAGGCGACUUACUGGACACAUAUUGACGCUGAGGUGCGAAAGCGUGGGGAGCAAACAGG
rnacentral:rRNA from 1 species